rnacentral:rRNA from 1 species
GACGAACGCNGGCGGCGUGCCUAAUACAUGCAAGUAGAACGCUGAAGGAGGAGCUUGCUUCUCUGGAUGAGUUGCGAACGGGUGAGUAACGCGUAGGUAACCUGCCUGGUAGCGGGGGAUAACUAUUGGAAACGAUAGCUAAUACCGCAUAAGAGUAGAUGUUGCAUGACAUUUGCUUAAAAGGUGCAAUUGCAUCACUACCAGAUGGACCUGCGUUGUAUUAGCCAGUUGGUGGGGUAACGGCUCACCAAGGCAACGAUACAUAGCCGACCUGAGAGGGUGAUCGGCCACACUGGGACUGAGACACGGCCCAGACUCCUACGGGAGGCAGCAGUAGGGAAUCUUCGGCAAUGGACGGAAGUCUGACCGAGCAACGCCGCGUGAGUGAAGAAGGUUUUCGGAUCGUAAAGCUCUGUUGUAAGAGAAGAACGAGUGUGAGAGUGGAAAGUCACAC